UUAAUUCAAAUUUGUAUGGAGCUGGAACGUUUGCGUACGUUUGCCGCUAGGGGCGCCGUUGCAACUGCAUACGAAUGUGAGAAC
rnacentral:pre_miRNA from 1 species